UUCCGGUUGAUCCUGCCGGACCUGACUGCUAUCGGAUUGAUACUAAGCCAUGCGAGUCAUUGUAGCAAUACAAGGCAUACGGCUCAGUAACGCGUAGUCAACCUAACCUAUGGACGGGAAUAACCUCGGGAAACUGAGAAUAAUGCCCGAUAGAACAUUAUGCCUGGAAUGGUUUAUGUUCCAAAUGAUUUAUCGCCGUAGGAUGGGACUGCGGCCUAUCAGUUUGUUGGUGAGGUAAUGGCCCACCAAGACUAUUACAGGUACGGGCUCUGAGAGGAGUAGCCCGGAGAUGGGUACUGAGACACGGACCCAGGCCCUAUGGGGCGCAGCAGGCGAGAAAACUUUGCAAUGUGCGAAAGCACGACAAGGUUAAUCCGAGUGGUUUCUGCUAAAGGAACCUUUUGUCAGUCCUAGAAACACUGAUGAAUAAGGGGUGGGCAAGUUCUGGUGUCAGCCGCCGCGGUAAAACCAGCACCUCAAGUGGUCAGGAUGAUUAUUGGGCCUAAAGCAUCCGUAGCCGGCUCUGUAAGUUUUCGGUUAAAUCUGUACGCUCAACGUACAGGCUGCCGGGAAUACUGCAAAGCUAGGGAGUGGGAGAGGUAGACGGUACUCGGUAGGAAGGGGUAAAAUCCUUUGAUCUAUUGAUGACCACCUGUGGCGAAGGCGGUCUACCAGAACACGUCCGACGGUGAGGGAUGAAAGCUGGGGGAGCAAACCGGAUUAGAUACCCGGGUAGUCCCAGCUGUAAACCAUGCAAACUCAGUGAUGCAUUGGGCUUGUGGCCNAUGCAGUGCUGCANGGAANCCGUUAANUUUGCCGCCUGGGAAGUACNUACNCAAGUAUGAAACUUAAAGGAAUUGGCGGGGGGAACACCANGGGGUGAANCCUGCGGUUCAAUUGGAUUCAACGCCGGG
rnacentral:rRNA from 1 species